rnacentral:tRNA from 1 species
GCCCACGUAGCUCAGGCGGCAGAGCAUUUGCAUGGUAAGCAAAAGGUCACCAGUUCGACUCUGGUCGUGGGCU